GGCAGAGUGCCCGAGUGGUUAAGGGGUUGCACUCGAAAUGCAAUACGUUCGCGUGCGCAGGUUCGAAUCCUGUCUCUGUCG
rnacentral:tRNA from 1 species